ensembl:lncRNA
ACUACUUUUCUUGUGACAGAGGCCUACAGAGCCCUACACUACAGCUUACAGUACAGAGCCCUAGACUACAGCUUAAAGUACAGAGCCCUACACUACAGCUUACAGUACAGAGCCCUAGACUACAGCUUACAGUACAGAGCCCUACACUACAGCUUACAGUACAGAGCCCUAGACUACAGCUUACAGUACAGAACCCUAGACUACAGCUUACAGUACAGAGCCCUAGACUACAGCUUACAGUACAGAGCCCUACACUACAGCUUACAGUACAGAGCCCUACACUACAGCUUACAGUACAGAGCCCUACACUACAGCUUACAGUACAGAGCCCUACACUACAGCUUACAGUACAGAGCCCUACACUACAGCUUACAGUACAGAGCCCUACACUACAGCUUACAGUACAGAGCCCUACACUACAGCUUACAGUACAGAGCCCUACACUACAGCUUACAGUACAGAGCCCUAGACUACAGUUUACAGUAUAGAGCCCUACACUACAGCUUACAGUACAGAGCCCUACACUACAGCUUACAGUACAGAACCCUACACUACAGCUUACAGUACAGAGCCCUACACUACAGCUUACAGUACAGAGCCCUACACUACAGCUUACAGUACAGAGCCCUACACUACAGCUUCCAGUACAGAGCCCUACACUACAGCUUACAGUACAGAGCCCUACACUACAGCUUACAGUACAGAGCCCUACACUACAGCUUCCAGUACAGAGCCCUACACUACAGCUUCCAGUACAGAGCCCUACACUACAGCUUACAGUACAGAGCCCUACACUACAGUUUACAGUACAGAGCCCUACACUACAGCUUCCAGUACAGAGCCCUACACUACAGCUUACAGUACAGAGCCCUACACUACAGCUUCCAGUACAGAGCCCUACACUACAGCUUCCAGUACAGAGCCCUACACUACAGCUUACAGUACAGAGCCCUACACUACAGUUUACAGUACAGAGCCCUACACUACAGCUUCCAGUACAGAGCCCUACACUACAGCUUCCAGUACAGAGCCCUACACUACAGCUUACAGUACAGAGCCCUACACUACAGUUUACAGUACAGAACCCUACACUACAGCUUCCAGUACAGAGCCCUACACUACAGCUUCCAGUACAGAGCCCUACACUACAGCUUACAGUACAGAGCCCUACACUACAGCUUCCAGUACAGAGCCCUACACUACAGCUUACAGUACAGAGCCCUACACUACAGCUUACAGUACAGAACCCUACACUACAGCUUCCAGUACAGAGCCCUAGACUACAGCUUCCAGUACAGAGCCCUACACUACAGCUUCCAGUACAGAGCCCUACACUACAGCUUCCAGUACAGAGCCCUACACUACAGUUUACAGUACAGAGCCCUACACUACAGCUUCCAGUACAGAGCCCUACACUACAGCUUACAGUACAGAGCCCUACACUACAGCUUCCAGUACAGAGCCCUACACUACAGCUUCCAGUACAGAGCCCUACACUACAGUUUACAGUACAGAGCCCUACACUACAGCUUCCAGUACAGAGCCCUACACUACAGCUUCCAGUACAGAGCCCUACACUACAGCUUACGUGAGCAGUUGUGCAACGUAUAA